AAAACUCCUCCAUUUUGGUUCUUCCGUCUUCCAUCUUCGCUGCCGCCCCACUCCCCCAUUUUCAGUUGCUAACUCGGCAGCUUCUCUGCCCUGUUUGGUCAAUCACGACAGCUGCACCAAUAAGCCUUCACUCUUUUUGCUAGGACAAAAAGAAUAAGAAAACAGAUACUCGUGCUCUUUCCUUUUUCUUCUUUCCUCUGAAACCAUCCCCAUGCUUCUCCUUACUGACCAGAUAUUCAGGUUGAGCGUGCCGAGGAGUAGAGUAGGCGAAGGUUGCUGCCAUCGUCUCACUGGAGUCUAGCCACUACAGCGGAAAUCAUCACUGUAAAGUUUCCCGCACUCUUAUACCUCUUUUUCC
rnacentral:lncRNA from 1 species